rnacentral:rRNA from 1 species
UUAAGCGACUAAGCGUACACGGUGGAUGCCCUGGCAGUCAGAGGCGAUGAAGGACGUGCUAAUCUGCGAAAAGCGCCGGCGAGGUGAUAUGAACCCUUGACCCGGCGAUGUCCGAAUGGGGAAACCCAGUGUGACCUGUCACACUAUCGUUAGCUGAAUACAUAGGCUAACGAGGCGAACCGGGGGAACUGAAACAUCUAAGUACCCCGAGGAAAAGAAAUCAACCGAGAUUCCCCCAGUAGCGGCGAGCGAACGGGGAGGAGCCCAGAGCCUGAAUCAGCUUGUGUGUUAGUGGAAGCGUCUGGAAAGUCGCACGGUACAGGGUGAAAGUCCCGUACACGAAAAUGCACAGGCUGUGAGCUCGAUGAGUAGGGCGGGACACGUGGUAUCCUGUCUGAAUAUGGGGGGACCAUCCUCCAAGGCUAAAUACUCCUGACUGACCGAUAGUGAACCAGUACCGUGAGGGAAAGGCGAAAAGAACCCCGGCGAGGGGAGUGAAAAAGAACCUGAAACCGUGUACGUACAAGCAGUGGGAGCCUCUUUUAUGGGGUGACUGCGUACCUUUUGUAUAAUGGGUCAGCGACUUAUAUUCUGUAGCAAGGUUAACCGUAUAGGGGAGCCGAAGGGAAACCGAGUCUUAACUGGGCGUUAAGUUGCAGGGUAUAGACCCGAAACCCGGUGAUCUAGCCAUGGGCAGGUUGAAGGUUGGGUAACACUAACUGGAGGACCGAACCGACUAAUGUUGAAAAAUUAGCGGAUGACCUGUGGCUGGGGGUGAAAGGCCAAUCAAACCGGGAGAUAGCUGGUUCUCCCCGAAAGCUAUUUAGGUAGCGCCUCGUGAAUUCAUCUCCGGGGGUAGAGCACUGUUUCGGCUAGGGGGCCAUCCCGGCUUACCAACCCGAUGCAAACUGCGAAUACCGGAGAAUGUUAUCACGGGAGACACACGGCGGGUGCUAACGUCCGUCGUGAAGAGGGAAACAACCCAGACCGCCAGCUAAGGUCCCAAAGUCAUGGUUAAGUGGGAAACGAUGUGGGAAGGCCCAGACAGCCAGGAUGUUGGCUUAGAAGCAGCCAUCAUUUAAAGAAAGCGUAAUAGCUCACUGGUCGAGUCGGCCUGCGCGGAAGAUGUAACGGGGCUAAACCAUGCACCGAAGCUGCGGCAGCGACACUAUGUGUUGUUGGGUAGGGGAGCGUUCUGUAAGCCGUUGAAGGUGUGCUGUGAGGCAUGCUGGAGGUAUCAGAAGUGCGAAUGCUGACAUAAGUAACGAUAAAGCGGGUGAAAAGCCCGCUCGCCGGAAGACCAAGGGUUCCUGUCCAACGUUAAUCGGGGCAGGGUGAGUCGACCCCUAAGGCGAGGCCGAAAGGCGUAGUCGAUGGGAAACAGGUUAAUAUUCCUGUACUUGGUGUUACUGCGAAGGGGGGACGGAGAAGGCUAUGUCGGCCGGGCGACGGUUGUCCCGGUUUAAGCGUGUAGGUGUGUGCUCCAGGCAAAUCCGGUGCACUUUAACACUGAGGCGUGAUGACGAGGCACUACGGUGCUGAAGUGACAAAUGCCCUGCUUCCAGGAAAAGCCUCUAAGCAUCAGGUAACAUCAAAUCGUACCCCAAACCGACACAGGUGGUCAGGUAGAGAAUACCAAGGCGCUUGAGAGAACUCGGGUGAAGGAACUAGGCAAAAUGGUGCCGUAACUUCGGGAGAAGGCACGCUGAUAUGUAGGUGAAGUGAUUUACUCAUGGAGCUGAAAUCAGUCGAAGAUACCAGCUGGCUGCAACUGUUUAUUAAAAACACAGCACUGUGCAAACACGAAAGUGGACGUAUACGGUGUGACGCCUGCCCGGUGCCGGAAGGUUAAUUGAUGGGGUUAUCCCUCGGGAGAAGCUCUUGAUCGAAGCCCCGGUAAACGGCGGCCGUAACUAUAACGGUCCUAAGGUAGCGAAAUUCCUUGUCGGGUAAGUUCCGACCUGCACGAAUGGCGUAAUGAUGGCCAGGCUGUCUCCACCCGAGACUCAGUGAAAUUGAACUCGCUGUGAAGAUGCAGUGUACCCGCGGCAAGACGGAAAGACCCCGUGAACCUUUACUAUAGCUUGACACUGAACA